rnacentral:tRNA from 1 species
GCAUUUGGUCUAGUGGUAGGAUUCUCGCUUUGGGUGUGAGAGGUCCCGACUUCAAUUCUCGGAUUGC